rnacentral:rRNA from 1 species
GACGGAGGAUGCAAGUGUUAUCCGGAAUCACUGGGCGUAAAGCGUCUGUAGGUUGUUUAAAAAGUCUGCAGUUAAAGGUUGAAGCUUAACUUCAAAAAUGCUGUAGAAACUUUUAAACUAGAGGAUGGUAGGGGUAGAGGGAAUUUCCGGUGGAGCGGUGAAAUGCGUAGAGAUACGGAAAGAACACCAACGGCGAAAGCACUCUGCUGGGCCGACACUGACACUGAGAGACGAAAGCUAGGGGAGCGAAUGGG